AUGGGGAUGACGAUAUCUUUGAUCUUGAGACUCGUCUGUGAUGUUUCUUGUAUUCAUACUGUCUGACCCAA